rnacentral:rRNA from 1 species
CUUGGUGAUUCAUAAUAACUAAACGAAUCGCAUGGCCUUGCGCCGGCGAUGGUUCAUUCAAAUUUCUGCCCUAUCAACUUUCGAUGGUAGGAUAGUGGCCUACCAUGGUAUCAACGGGUAACGGGGAAUUAGGGUUCUAUUCCGGAGAGGGAGCCUGAGAAACGGCUACCACAUCCAAGGAAGGCAGCAGGCGCGCAAAUUACCCAAUCCCGACACGGGGAGGUAGUGACAAUAAAUACUGAUACAGGGCUCUUUUGGGUCUUGUAAUUGGAAUGAGUACAAUUUAAAUCCCUUAACGAGGAACAAUUGGAGGGCAAGUCUGGUGCCAGCAGCCGCGGUAAUUCCAGCUCCAAUAGCGUAUAUUAAAGUUGUUGCAGUUAAAAAGCUCGUAGUUGAACCUUGGGCCUGGCUGGCCGGUCCGCCUCACCGCGUGUACUGGUCCGGCCGGGCCUUUCCUUCUGGGGAGCCGCAUGCCCUUCACUGGGCGUGUUGGGGAACCAGGACUUUUACUUUGAAAAAAUUAGAGUGUUCAAAGCAGGCCUUUGCUCGAAUACAUUAGCAUGGAAUAAUAGAAUAGGACGUGCGGUUCUAUUUUGUUGGUUUCUAGGACCGCCGUAAUGAUUAAUAGGGAUAGUCGGGGGCAUCAGUAUUCAAUUGUCAGAGGUGAAAUUCUUGGAUUUAUUGAAGACUAACUACUGCGAAAGCAUUUGCCAAGGAUGUUUUCAUUAAUCAGUGAACGAAAGUUAGGGGAUCGAAGACGAUCAGAUACCGUCGUAGUCUUAACCAUAAACUAUGCCGACUAGGGAUCGGGCGAUGUUAUCAUUUUGACUCGCUCGGCACCUUACGAGAAAUCAAAGUCUUGGGUU